GACGUAGGGCGCGAGCGUUGUCCGGAUUAUUGGGCGUAAAGAGCUCGUAGGCGGCUUGUUGCGUCGACUGUGAAAACCCGCGGCUUAACUGCGGGCCUGCAGUUGAUACGGGCAGGCUAGAGUUCGGUAGGGGAGACUGGAAUUUACGGUGUAGCGGUGAAAUGCGUAGAUAUCGUAAGGAAGACCAGUGGACGAAGGCGGGUCGUCUGGACAUGUUCCUGACACUGAGACACGAAGGCCAGGGGAGCAAACGGG
rnacentral:rRNA from 1 species